rnacentral:rRNA from 1 species
GACAGAGGGGGCAAGCGUUGUCCGGAAUCACUGGGCGUAAAGCGCGCGCAGGCGGUCAUCUACGUCUGGGGUGAAAGCCCGGAGCUCAACUCCGGGACUGCCUUGGAUACGGGAUGACUUGAGGAUCGGAGAGGCAAGGGGAAUUCCACGUGUAGCGGUGAAAUGCGUAGAGAUGUGGAGGAACACCUGUGGCGAAGGCGCCUUGCUGGCCGAUUUCUGACGCUGAGGCGCGAAAGCGUGGGGAGCAAACAGG